AGGGCAAGUCUGGUGCCAGCAGCCGCGGUAAUUCCAGCUCCAAUAGCGUAUAUUAAAGUUGUUGCAGUUAAAAAGCUCGUAGUUGAACUUCGGGGUUUACCCAUUGGUCAGGCUUAAUUGUCUGCACUGGUGAGAUGAAUCUCUACCUUCUGAGGAACUUUCAUGCCAUUUAUUUGGUGUGAUGGGAAAUCAGGACUGUUACUUUGAAAAAAUUAGAGUGUUUAAAGCAGGCUAACGUCUGAAUACAUUAGCAUGGAAUAAUGAAAUAGGACGGACUGAUUCUAUUUCGUUGGUUUCUAGGAUCACCGUAAUGAUUAAUAGGGAUAGUUGGGGGCAUUAGUAUUCAAUUGUCAGAGGUGAAAUUCUUGGAUUUAUUGAAGACUAACUACUGCGAAAGCAUUUGCCAAGGAUGUUUUCAUUAAUCAAGAACGAAAGUUAGGGGAUCGAAGACGAUCAGAUACCGUCGUAGUCUUAACCAUAAACUAUGCCGACUAGGGAUCGGACGAAGUUAAUUUUAUAAUGACGCGUUCGGCGCCUUACGGGAAA
rnacentral:rRNA from 1 species